GGAGUGAUAUGCUAACUGGUAAGCAACCUCACUGCUAAUGAGGCGGGGCAGCAAUGCCCUUGAGCGUUCGAAUCGCUCUCACUCCGCCA
rnacentral:tRNA from 1 species